rnacentral:rRNA from 1 species
CCUACGGGAGGCAGCAGUGAGGAAUAUUGGUCAAUGGGCGAGAGCCUGAACCAGCCAAGUCGCGUGAAGGAUGACGGCCCUACGGGUUGUAAACUUCUUUUGUCCGGGAGCAAUUGGGUCCACGCGUGGGCUUAUCGAGAGUACCUAAGGAAAAAGCAUGGGCUAACUCCGUGCCAGCACCCGGGGUAAUACGGAGGAUGCGAGCGUUUUCCGAUUUUAUUGGUUUUAAGGGGUCCGUAGGCGGAAGUUCAGGUUAGCGGUAAAAAUUCGGGGCCAACCCCCGCCGUGCCGUUGAAACUGGUGUUCUUGAGUGGGCGAGAAGCAGGCGGAAUGCGUGGUGUAGCGGUGAAAUGCUUAGAUAUGACGCAGAACCCCGAUUGCGAAGGCAGCAUACCGGAGCCCAACUGACGCUGAAGCACGAAAGCGCGGGUAUCGAACAGGAUUAGAUACCCGUGUAGUC